UUUAAGUUCAGCCUUUAGUAAGUCUAGAAAAAUAAAGAAAGGAUACUAGGGACAAGUUAUUUGGAAUUACAAUAAUAGGAGUACCGAAGCGGAGGUAUCUGAAGACCAGAUCAAAAUCACACCGAAAUUCUAGGAACAAAAGCACCAAAGUGCUAGUAACAGGACCACCGACGUGCUAGUAACAAGAGUAUCAGAGUAAAAACAGGAGUCAAUUAUUGACAUGUCAACCGUAUCCUAGUUAUUUAUAUAAGCUACCAAGGCCUUGUUUCAAGGUUUUCAAAAUAUCAGUAAACUCAUGUAUUAAAUCAAAUUAUAACUCUGUAUUAGUAUUCAUGGCGUAAACCAAUAUAUUAUAAAUUGAUAGUUUAAAUCAUGACAUUAUGCCACUACACAAGAUUUCAAAGCUAUCAUUUUUAUCUCCAUAUAGAGACAUCUUACAAGGUUCUUUUUGGAAGUCAUUUUCAUGCCAAUAAUCAGAAUUCUAACAUCAUACGACAUAGUCGAACUUUACUUGUUCGAAACCAUAUUUUUCAAGCAUACAAAAAUGAAUUGACAAUAUUAUACUCGAUAUAAUUUUAAUAAAUUAAAUUAAAUAUGAAAUAAGUAUUUACAAAAUAUUUUCAUAAUCUUUCAGUCGUUUUAGUAUUUUAAGCUUGUAUUGACACUUGACGACUUAGAGCAAGACUUUGCAAUUUGACAUGUUUUUGGCCAUACUGGCCUUAUCUAAUCUUUAAAUAAUAGUGACAUGGUUCAUAUAUGUCCACCAAUACUUCCAUGGCACCCCAAAAUUCUUAUGUCAUAAUUUCAAUUCUUAAGCACUUCAUGUCUAUAUAAUUACAACUUCACAUUUUAAUGUGUAAUUUUAUAUAUUAAGGCCAUGGAAUUUCACACUAAUAUUAGCCCCAUUAAAUGCUUAAUUAUAAUAUUAAUUACAUAAACCCUAAGUUUACUAACUUAGGAGAAAGAUGACUAUCCAUGAUAUUUACCUUAAUGGAUGCUUCCUAACACUUAAUCAAGCGCCCAUGAACACCAAUUACCAUCAAUUAAGCUUGAAACUCCUGAAUCAACAUUUUCCCAAUUCCAUACAAUAAAAAAUAUAUCAAAUAUUAACAUAAAUUCUUUCUAAACUUUUUCAUAUAAUUUCUCAGCAAUUAUCAAACUAAUAGAGAUAUAGGAAACCAUUUCUUACCAUUUUUGAAGCUUUAUCACACUAGCUUCAUCUUCUCUCACAAAAGCUCCAUAAACCCUAGCUUAGGAAUGAUGAAAUUGAUGGAGGAACUGAGCUUAGGAGGUUGAUUACAUGAAAAUUUUAACAAAAUCUCAAUGUAGGUAGUGUAAAUUUUGGAAGAACUUGAAGAAAUAAGCAAGGAAAUAAAUAAAAGAAAAAUGGAAGCC
rnacentral:lncRNA from 1 species